rnacentral:rRNA from 1 species
AGGACAAACGCUGGCGGCGUACCUAAGACAUGCAAGUCGAACGGGGGAUGGACCCUUCGGGGACCAUCUCGAGUGGCGAACGGGUGAGUAACACGUAGGAACCUGACGUUUGGUGGGGGAUAACGCUGGGAAACCGGCGCUAAUACCGCAUAAGGUCCUCCGGAAGGGGGAGGAAAGCAGCAAUGCGCCAGAUGAGGGGCCUGUGGCCGAUUAGCUGGUUGGUGAGGUAAAGGCCCACCAAGGCGACGAUCGGUAGCUGGUCUGAGAGGAUGGUCAGCCACACUGGGACUGAGACACGGCCCAGACUCCUACGGGAGGCAGCAGUUAGGAAAUUUUCGCAAUGGGGGAAACCCUGACGGAGUAACGCCGCGUGGAGGAUGACGGCUUUCGGGUUGUAAACUCCUUUUCUGUGGAAGAGUAGAAGACGGUACCGCAGGAAGAAGCCUCGGCUAACUACGCGCCAGCAGCCGC